rnacentral:sRNA from 1 species
UACUACUGGAAAGUGGUCAGACCACAAGA